rnacentral:rRNA from 1 species
UGGGGAAGUUUUUUUCCGUCAAUGGGCGAAAGCCUGACGGAGCAAUGCCGCGCGGAGGUGGAAGGCCUACGGGUCGUCAACUUCUUUUCUCGGAGAAGAAACAAUGACGGUAUCUGAGGAAUAAGCAUCGGCUAACUCUGUGCCAG